rnacentral:rRNA from 1 species
ACAUGCCUACAACAUAGCAUUAAUGCAGUGGAUCCCAUUAGAACUCCGCAGUUAAGCGUACUCAAGCUAGAGUAGUACUGGGAUGGGCGACCACCCGAGAAGUCCUAGUUUUUUACAUGUC